AUACGGAGGGUGCAAGCGUUACUCGGAAUCACUGGGCGUAAAGCGCGCGCAGGCGGCCUGAUAAGUUGGAUGUGAAAGCCUACGGCUCAACCGUAGAACUGCAUCCAAAACUGUCAGGCUAGGGUGUGGGAGAGGAAGAUGGAAUUAGUUGUGUAGGGGUAAAAUCCGUAGAGAUAACUAGGAAUACCAAAAGCGAAGGCAAUCUUCUGGAACACUACUGACGCUGAGGCGCGAAGGCGUGGGGAGCAAACAGGAUUAGAAACCCGGGUAGUCC
rnacentral:rRNA from 1 species